rnacentral:rRNA from 1 species
AACGAACGCUGGCGGCAUGCCUAACACAUGCAAGUCGAACGAGACCUUCGGGUCUAGUGGCGCACGGGUGCGUAACGCGGGGGAACCUGCCCGUAGGUUCGGAAUAACUCCCCGAAAGGGGUGCUAAUACCGGAUAAUGUCUUCGGACCAAAGAUUUAUCGCCUUUGGAUGGGCCCGGGUUGGAUUAGCUAGUUGGGAGGGUAAAAGCCUACCAAGGCGACGAUCCAUAGCUGGUCUGAGAGGAUGAUCAGCCACACUGGGACUGGGACACGGCCCAGACCACGUCCGGGGGGCGGACUGGGGGAAGUUGGCAGCUGGGCGGAAGCCUGAUCCCAGUAACCCCGGUGAGUUAUGUAAGGCUUCAGGUUUAAAAGCUCCUUUACCCCGGGUUCUCAAGGCAGUUCCGGGGGAAAAAGCUCCGGCUAACCCCGUG